rnacentral:rRNA from 1 species
GACGAACGCUGGCGGCGUGCUUAACACAUGCAAGUCGAACGGUGACGAGGAGCUUGCUCCUCUGAUCAGUGGCGAACGGGUGAGUAACACGUGAGCAACCUGCCCCAGACUCUGGGAUAACAGUUGGAAACAGCUGCUAAUACCGGAUACGAGACGGAGAGGCAUCUCUACCGUCUGGAAAGUUUUUCGGUCUGGGAUGGACUCGCGGCCUAUCAGCUAGUUGGUGAGGUAAUGGCUCACCAAGGCGACGACGGGUAGCCGGUCUGAGAGGAUGUACGGCCACACUGGGACUGAGAUACGGCCCAGACUCCUACGGGAGGCAGCAGUUGGGAAUCUUAGGCAAUGGACGAAAGUCUGACCUAGCGACGCCGCGUGAGGGAAGAAGGCCUUCGGGUUGUAAACCGUCUGUCAUGGGGAAGAAGUAAGUGACGGUACCCAACGAGGAAGCCCUGCUAACUACGUGCCAGCAGCCGCGGUAACAUACUCGUA